rnacentral:rRNA from 1 species
GUCCAGACUCCUACGGGAGGCAGCAGUGGGGAAUGUUGCACAAUGGGGGAAACCCUGAUGCAGCGACGCCGCGUGAGUGAAGAAGUAUUUCGGUAUGUAAAGCUCUAUCAGCAGGGAAGAAAAUGACGGUACCUGACUAAGAAGCCCCGGCUAACUACGUGCCAGCAGCCGCGGUAAUACGUAGGGGGCAAGCGUUAUCCGGAUUUACUGGGUGUAAAGGGAGCGUAGACGGCAGCGCAAGUCUGGAGUGAAAUGCCGGGGCCCAACCCCGGAACUGCUUUGGAAACUGUGCUGCUGGAGUGCAGGAGAGGCAAGUGGAAUUCCUAGUGUAGCGGUGAAAUGCGUAGAUAUUAGGAGGAACACCAGUGGCGAAGGCGGCUUGCUGGACUGUAACUGACGUUGAGGCUCGAAAGCGUGGGGAGCAAACAGGAUUAGAUACCCGCAUACC